GUUAGGAAUAUUGGACAAUGGGCGCAAGCCUGAUCCAGCCAUGCCGCGUGAGUGAUGAAGGCCUUCGGGUUGUAAAGCUCUUUAGCCGAUGAUUAUAAUGACUGUAGUCGGAAAAUAAGCCCCGGCUAACUUCGUGCCAGCAGCCGCGGUAAUACGAGGGGGCGAGCGUUAUUCGGAAUCACUGGGCGUAAAGCGUGCGUAGGCGGCUUUGCAAGUUGGGAGUGAAAGCCCAGGGCUCAACCCUGGAAUUGCUCUCAAAACUGCAAGGCUCGAAUUCGGGAGAGGAUAGCGGAAUUGUCAGUGUAGCAGUGAAAUGCGUAGAUAUUGACAGGAACACCAGUGGCGUAAGCGGCUAUCUGGACCGAUAUUGACGCUGAGGCACGAAAGCGUGGGGAUCAAACAGGAUUAGAAACCCGUGUAGUCC
rnacentral:rRNA from 1 species